GUCCUCACUUUGGCAGCACAUACUAAAAUCGGAACAAUAGAGAGAAGAUUAUCAUGGCCCUUGUACAAGGAAGACAUGCAAAUUUAUGAAAUGUUCCAUAAUUAA